GAUAGUGGUGGUGGAGCAGCUCUGUGAGGUAGGAAGGAGCCUGGUUAUGGAGGGCUUUGUGGGUGAGGAGGAGGACUUUAAACUGGAUGCGUUGGGAAACAGGGAACUAGUGGAGGUUCUCAAGGAUGGGAGUGGUGUGAUCACGGGAAUGGGUGUGGGUGAGGAGAUGGGCAGCAGAGUUUUGGAUGUAUUGGAGUUUAUUUAAGGCUUUUGCAGGUGAACCAUAGAGGAUGCUACAUGGUGCAGUUGUUGAUGUGUAUGAACUGUUGUCUCUUGGUGAGAUAGGAACGGAGCCAGGAGAGUGCGGUGCCACUGAUGUUGCAGUAGGUUUCCAGUCGGGACUGUAGAUGCAUGACCAUUAUGCUCCAAAUAACCAUUAUUUAAUUUUUCAACUUAACAUACCAUUAUUCAGUACAAAACAAAGGCUGUAAUGUGACACCACUUUAAAUACAUGUAACCAUUUCCAGCAUAGAAUAAAAUGUCAACUGUGAACACAGAAAUUACAGACACGUGAUUAUUUAUUUAAUAAAAGCUGGACAGAUGUGAAUUCAUGCAAAAGUUACUUUUCAAAAUCAUAAUAAGACUUGAUU